UACGGAGGGUGCAAACGUUGCUCGGAAUCAUUGGGCGUAAAGCGCACGUAGGCGGUCCAGCAAGUCGGGUGUGAAAGCCCUCGGCUCAACCGGGGAAGUGCAUUCGAAACUGCUGAACUUGAGUAUGGAAGAGGGUCGCGGAAUUCCCGGUGUAGAGGUGAAAUGCGUAGAUAUCUGGAGGAACACCGAUGGCGAAGGCGACAUCCUGGACCGGUAUUGACGCUGAGGCGCGAAGGCCAGGGGAGCAAACGGG
rnacentral:rRNA from 1 species